rnacentral:rRNA from 1 species
GACGUAGGGCGCGAGCGUUGUCCGGAUUUAUUGGGCGUAAAGAGCUCGUAGGCGGCUUGUUGCGUCAGCUGUGAAAACCCGCAGCUCAACUGUGGGCUUGCAGCUGAUACGGGCAGGCUAGAGUUCGGUAGGGGAGACUGGAAUUCCUGGUGUAGCGGUGAAAUGCGCAGAUAUCAGGAGGAACACCGGUGGCGAAGGCGGGUCUCUGGGCCGAUACUGACGCUGAGGAGCGAAAGCGUGGGGAGCGAACAGG